GCUCACGGCCAUACCAGCCUGGGUACGCCCGAUCUCGUCUGAUCUCGGAAGCGAAGCAGGGUCGGGCCUGGUUAGUACUUGGAUGGGAGACCGCCUGGGAAUACCAGGUGCUGUAAGCA
rnacentral:rRNA from 1 species